UUGAGCCAGCGCGCGAUGUCAUGUCACAGGAAUUCACUGGCCAAGAGAACGAGCAAAACAUUUCAUAACGCCAAAAAACGACGACCACAACGAGUUAAAACCAGCACUGCAUACAAAGCAGCGACGAUUAGGUUAUAUCUGGAUUUGACUGUUUAUAUCUGAUUAAAAAAAAGACGAUUUAAAAUGUCCGCCCGAAAAUCCCCUCAAGUACGCUACAAACUUACAGCAGCGCUAACUGGCUACAGUAUCAACCGAUUAUCUCUAAAAUAUCGCACAAUGUCUAAUAAAACAUGACAUACAGCUGUCGGAUUUACAAACGCGAUAUCAAACAUGAGGUAAAGCCUCUUUUCGUACCUUGGCUUGCAGACCAGAAACCCGGAGAAAAACCAACACCGACCGCUGCUGUCGACGUCCAAACGCUGGGACUGGAGAGGAGAGGAGAGGUGGGCGGUGGAGCUGCAGUGGAGCAGAGCAGAGCAGAGCAGAGCAGCCUCCCUCCGGUGCACACAAACUCUGCUGAAAACUCUGCUACACAGACUAACAACAGCAAACAAACACUGUACAUCUAAAGCAGUGGGCCUAUUUAGUAGCUGAUAGCUUCUCUGCUGAUAGACCAACGACUUUUGAGGAGGCUUUUUGACAGGACACGGAGGCUAAAGGUCAAGUUUAUCCUCCAGAGCAUCUCCAAUGGCCUCUAGUUUGGAGUCCAGCCAGAUGCUCAUGUGAGUGAUGUUUCCUGUUCAGCUUCAGGAGACAGGAAGCAUCACGCAUGUCUGAGCGCCCUGUGAAGAAGGGUUGGACCAAAGCAUGCUGUAAAAAGCCAUGAGCGAGUGAAUCCCCUUAAUCUGGACGACAGAGAGAAAGAGAAGUGAAAAAAGAUGACUAAAGCUAUAGUCAUAUAAUUAGGCGCAUUAUACACCUGAAAUUGAAUGUUUAAAUGAAUAGCUGUCCCUUUCCAAGUUUACAUGUGACUAUUGUCUUAAUUGCCUUGUAAUUAGUCUCAGACGGCACUCCCACAAACUUGUCUGAUGCACAUUGAUGCAAAA